rnacentral:rRNA from 2 species
GGCGUGACGGUAUCCAACCAGAAAGCCACGGCUAACUACGUGCCAGCAGCCGCGGUAAUACGUAGGUGGCAAGCGUUAUCCGGAUUUAUUGGGCGUAAAGCGAGCGCAGGCGGUUUUUUAAGUCUGAUGUGAAAGCCCUCGGCUUAACCGAGGAAGCGCAUCGGAAACUGGGAAACUUGAGUGCAGAAGAGGACAGUGGAACUCCAUGUGUAGCGGUGAAAUGCGUAGAUAUAUGGAAGAACACCAGUGGCGAAGGCGGCUGUCUGGUCUGUAACUGACGCUGAGGCUCGAAAGCAUGGGUAGCGAACAGGAUUAGAUACCCUGGUAGUCCAUGCCGUAAACGAUGAAUGCUAGGUGUUGGAGGGUUUCCGCCCUUCAGUGCCGCAGCUAACGCAUUAAGCAUUCCGCCUGGGGAGUACGACCGCAAGGUUGAAACUCAAAGGAAUUGACGGGGGCCCGCACAAGCGGUGGAGCAUGUGGUUUAAUUCGAAGCAACGCGAAGAACCUUACCAGGUCUUGACAUCUUUUGAUCACCUGAGAGAUCAGGUUUCCCCUUCGGGGGCAAAAUGACAGGUGGUGCAUGGUUGUCGUCAGCUCGUGUCGUGAGAUGUUGGGUUAAGUCCCGCAACGAGCGCAACCCUUAUGACUAGUUGCCAGCAUUUAGUUGGGCACUCUAGUAAGACUGCCGGUGACAAACCGGAGGAAGGUGGGGAUGACGUCAAAUCAUCAUGCCCCUUAUGACCUGGGCUACACACGUGCUACAAUGGAUGGUACAACGAGUUGCGAGACCGCGAGGUCAAGCUAAUCUCUUAAAGCCAUUCUCAGUUCGGACUGUAGGCUGCAACUCGCCUACACGAAGUCGGAAUCGCUAGUAAUCGCGGAUCAGCACGCCGCGGUGAAUACGUUCCCGGGCCUUGUACACACCGCCCGUCACACCAUGAGAGUUUGUAACACCCGAAGCCGGUGGCGUAACCCUUUUAGGGAGCGAGCCGUCUAAGGUGGGACAAAUGAUUAGGGUGAAGUCGUAACAAGGUAGCCGUAGGAGAACCUGCGGCUGGAUCACCUCCUUUCUAAGGAA